AAAGACAACACCGUCUAGAAGAAGAGGAUUAAUUAGCUAGCCAGUCAUUCGCCGCGGCACAUGCCAGGAACAACACAGUUUCUGUGCUUGGCCGUAGCUCUUCUGGUCAUGUCGGCCUCCCUGUCAUGCAAUGCCAAGCACACGUACCGUGAAUCUAUGUGGGAAUCCAAGAGACAGGUGCAUGAUUUUGGCGGGCACAACUGCCAAAACACCUGUGUAAGAAAAAGCACAGAUACUGACAUAUACUGUGAAUAUAUGUGGGAAUGCAACAAACCGGUGCAUGAUCAUGACCAGCACAAGUGCCGAAACUUCUGCGUAAGCAAAGGCUACGACUACCUCGGGAGCUAUUGUGAGCACCACCCCUACCCGUAUUGCUGUUGCCAUAAGUAAUCUGAAUUCGAUGGCUUUGGGGUGAUAUCUGGAUGAUGAUGCUUGUCAUGUGCUACUUAAAAAGCUAUAGUUGUUUGUGUAUGGAGGAAAUAUGCCCUAAAGAUAAUAAUAAAGUUGUUAUUUAUAUUUUCU